GGUUAAGCGACUAAGCGUACACGGUGGAUGCCCUGGCAGUCAGAGGCGAUGAAGGACGUGCUAAUCUGCGAUAAGCGUCGGUAAGGUGAUAUGAACCGUUAUAACCGGCGAUUUCCGAAUGGGGAAACCCAGUGUGUUUCGACACACUAUCAUUAACUGAAUCCAUAGGUUAAUGAGGCGAACCGGGGGAACUGAAACAUCUAAGUACCCCGAGGAAAAGAAAUCAACCGAGAUUCCCCCAGUAGCGGCGAGCGAACGGGGAGCAGCCCAGAGCCUGAAUCAGUGUGUGUGUUAGUGGAAGCGUCUGGAAAGGCGCGCGAUACAGGGUGACAGCCCCGUACACAAAAAUGCACAUACUGUGAGCUCGAUGAGUAGGGCGGGACACGUGGUAUCCUGUCUGAAUAUGGGGGGACCAUCCUCCAAGGCUAAAUACUCCUGACUGACCGAUAGUGAACCAGUACCGUGAGGGAAAGGCGAAAAGAACCCCGGCGAGGGGAGUGAAAAAGAACCUGAAACCGUGUACGUACAAGCAGUGGGAGCACAGAGCAAUCUGUGUGACUGCGUACCUUUUGUAUAAUGGGUCAGCGACUUAUAUUCUGUAGCAAGGUUAACCGAAUAGGGGAGCCGAAGGGAAACCGAGUCUUAACUGGGCGUUAAGUUGCAGGGUAUAGACCCGAAACCCGGUGAUCUAGCCAUGGGCAGGUUGAAGGUUGGGUAACACUAACUGGAGGACCGAACCGACUAAUGUUGAAAAAUUAGCGGAUGACUUGUGGCUGGGGGUGAAAGGCCAAUCAAACCGGGAGAUAGCUGGUUCUCCCCGAAAGCUAUUUAGGUAGCGCCUCGUGAAUUCAUCUCCGGGGGUAGAGCACUGUUUCGGCAAGGGGGUCAUCCCGACUUACCAACCCGAUGCAAACUGCGAAUACCGGAGAAUGUUAUCACGGGAGACACACGGCGGGUGCUAACGUCCGUCGUGAAGAGGGAAACAACCCAGACCGCCAGCUAAGGUCCCAAAGUCAUGGUUAAGUGGGAAACGAUGUGGGAAGGCCCAGACAGCCAGGAUGUUGGCUUAGAAGCAGCCAUCAUUUAAAGAAAGCGUAAUAGCUCACUGGUCGAGUCGGCCUGCGCGGAAGAUGUAACGGGGCUAAACCAUGCACCGAAGCUGCGGCAGCGACGCUGAUGCGUUGUUGGGUAGGGGAGCGUUCUGUAAGCCUGUGAAGGUGUGCUGUGAGGCAUGCUGGAGGUAUCAGAAGUGCGAAUGCUGACAUAAGUAACGAUAAAGCGGGUGAAAAGCCCGCUCGCCGGAAGACCAAGGGUUCCUGUCCAACGUUAAUCGGGGCAGGGUGAGUCGACCCCUAAGGCGAGGCCGAAAGGCGUAGUCGAUGGGAAACAGGUUAAUAUUCCUGUACUUGGUGUUACUGCGAAGGGGGGACGGAGAAGGCUAUGUUGGCCGGGCGACGGUUGUCCCGGUUUAAGCGUGUAGGCUGGUUUUCCAGGCAAAUCCGGAAAAUCAAGGCUGAGGCGUGAUGACGAGGCACUACGGUGCUGAAGCAACAAAUGCCCUGCUUCCAGGAAAAGCCUCUAAGCAUCAGGUAACAUCAAAUCGUACCCCAAACCGACACAGGUGGUCAGGUAGAGAAUACCAAGGCGCUUGAGAGAACUCGGGUGAAGGAACUAGGCAAAAUGGUGCCGUAACUUCGGGAGAAGGCACGCUGAUAUGUAGGUGAAGUCCCUCGCGGAUGGAGCUGAAAUCAGUCGAAGAUACCAGCUGGCUGCAACUGUUUAUUAAAAACACAGCACUGUGCAAACACGAAAGUGGACGUAUACGGUGUGACGCCUGCCCGGUGCCGGAAGGUUAAUUGAUGGGGUCAGCGCAAGCGAAGCUCUUGAUCGAAGCCCCGGUAAACGGCGGCCGUAACUAUAACGGUCCUAAGGUAGCGAAAUUCCUUGUCGGGUAAGUUCCGACCUGCACGAAUGGCGUAAUGAUGGCCAGGCUGUCUCCACCCGAGACUCAGUGAAAUUGAACUCGCUGUGAAGAUGCAGUGUACCCGCGGCAAGACGGAAAGACCCCGUGAACCUUUACUAUAGCUUGACACUGAACAUUGAGCCUUGAUGUGUAGGAUAGGUGGGAGGCUUUGAAGUGUGGACGCCAGUCUGCAUGGAGCCGACCUUGAAAUACCACCCUUUAAUGUUUGAUGUUCUAACGUUGACCCGUGAUCCGGGUUGCGGACAGUGUCUGGUGGGUAGUUUGACUGGGGCGGUCUCCUCCUAAAGAGUAACGGAGGAGCACGAAGGUUGGCUAAUCCUGGUCGGACAUCAGGAGGUUAGUGCAAUGGCAUAAGCCAGCUUGACUGCGAGCGUGACGGCGCGAGCAGGUGCGAAAGCAGGUCAUAGUGAUCCGGUGGUUCUGAAUGGAAGGGCCAUCGCUCAACGGAUAAAAGGUACUCCGGGGAUAACAGGCUGAUACCGCCCAAGAGUUCAUAUCGACGGCGGUGUUUGGCACCUCGAUGUCGGCUCAUCACAUCCUGGGGCUGAAGUAGGUCCCAAGGGUAUGGCUGUUCGCCAUUUAAAGUGGUACGCGAGCUGGGUUUAGAACGUCGUGAGACAGUUCGGUCCCUAUCUGCCGUGGGCGCUGGAGAAUUGAGGGGGGCUGCUCCUAGUACGAGAGGACCGGAGUGGACGCAUCACUGGUGUUCGGGUUGUCAUGCCAAUGGCACUGCCCGGUAGCUAAAUGCGGAAGAGAUAAGUGCUGAAAGCAUCUAAGCACGAAACUUGCCCCGAGAUGAGUUCUCCCUGACUCCUUGAGAGUCCUGAAGGAACGUUGAAGACGACGACGUUGAUAGGCCGGGUGUGUAAGCGCAGCGAUGCGUUGAGCUAACCGGUACUAAUGAACCGUGAGGCUUAACCUU
rnacentral:rRNA from 1 species